CAUGCCGUAAACGUUGUAUACUAGGUGCGGGAGGUAUCGACCCCUUCCGUGCCGAAGCUAACGCAUUAAGUAUACCGCCUGGGGAGUACGCGCGCAAGCGUGAAACUCAAAGGAAUUGACGGGGGCCCGCACAAGCGGUGGAGCAUGUGGUUUAAUUCGAGGCAACGCGAAGAACCUUACCCAGGCUUGACAUCCCAAGACCGCUCAUGAAAGUGAGUUUUCCCUUCGGGGACUUGGAGACAGGUGU
rnacentral:rRNA from 1 species